rnacentral:misc_RNA from 1 species
GGGGGUGGGAUUCGUACUGGCU